AUAUUGUUACCUCAUAUUUAUUUACUUGCCUGCUUGAUUGUUAGUCUGUUCCUCUGCGUGUGAGGAACGUAACAAUGUCCUGCAUGUUCAAAUCAGUUAUCUUGUCAUUCCCCAAUUUUCUUACUGUUCUUUUGGCCUUGGACAAGGUCAAUCGGAUGUGUGUGUUGACACAGAUCUUUGAUGUGGAAGUUAAUAUAUCAGUCCUAUCCGACCUCUCUAUACUGUUUUGUUAUAUAUACGUUGGGGAUAGAUGAAAUAGUAGAAGUUAACUAUGCUGGUUAUUGUCAUGUGUGGUCCAUUACUCUGACCUUUUUGAUUAUCUAAAGAAAAGGGGUUUAUUUACUUUGCUGAUUUCAUUCGAGCUCUGAAUAUAUUUCAUUCCGACAUUUCAUUUUGUCGAUAAUAACAUUUUUCUUCUUUCUGAACAUUUCUAUGGGCAGAUAUUAUCCUCCAAGCUAUAUGAUAUGGACAACACAUGAUUUAUGGAACGAAAAGAGAUCAUGUCAUCCAGAUAAUUAGAUUUCACCGCAUGAUGUUCUUUACCCCAGCCGAGCAUAGUGUGCUGCCGCGCCGUCGAUUUCCACGAAGUGGCCAGCCCGAGCCGAUUCCCCAAUGUGUCAAUGACUACGUCCGCUGCGUGAUCCUGUGGGACAUGACCAAUCCAUUGCCUUAUCAACACAUCGAGGGUGAAUUGAGUUCAGAGCUUUGAGCAAACGAUUGCGAUUUUGUAGCUGCAGUGGUGCUAUUCUUUAUCAUUUGGUAUGUCAUUACUUCCUACCUACUUGAAUUUCUCUAUUCCCAAUUCACGGGAUUUUUACUUUUUGACAUUUCCCUAAAUGAUUAUACACAACUCUGAUAAUGCGUGCCACCCAGUUUUCGUUCUCUAUAAGAACUGAGAAGUACAUAUGCACUUUUACGACAUAUAGGUUCAUAUAGAUGUGUUUGGACGACAUAUAGGGAGAACGAUAGGAUCAGAUGUCUGUGACAUAGAAAAAAAUAUACCGACAUGUACAUACUGUUCUUUCAUAGUACAUGCCAUGUAUACAAUGUUCACAUGCAAACAGAGCUACAAAAAUAUAUUAGUAGAUGAACCACAGUGAUA